AUAAGCUACACCCACCACAACAAUUCAAUUAUCUCUCUCACUUUAUUCCACGUCUCUCUCUAAGCUAGGGCUCCUGAACUUGAUGACUUUCAGCGUUCUAUCUCAAAAAUUGACGGCAGUGGAGUGUUAACGGCGACGGUGAAUGACGGUAUUGAAGGUGAAUCAAGAAAUUUUCAUCUUCACUUACAUCUUCACUGAUUCAAGGUGGUUUUUUUUCCAGGUGGUUAAUAAAGAAAAUCAAUGGCAUCAAAAGGUCAUGGUAAUGGACGGCGUAAGAAAGGCAAGAAAGGACCUGAUAAUCUUCCCGUAGGUCAAUAUACACCACCACCACCAUCAUCAAAAGGAAUUAAAAAUGGGAGAAAAGAGAGCCCUUUUAUUGAUGUCUACGAAGAGACGCAUAGGAAGAAAAACAAGGACGGUACAAGAGAGAUUGGUUAGAGACGCGGGCUAAGAAUGCAUAUGAAGAAUUUCAAAAAAGCAUAGAAGAGUGGCGUCAAACCCAACUACGAGGAAGAUAAUGAAUCUGAUGAUAAUUAGAUUGUAGUUAUUGUUCUUGUUUUUGGUCGUGACAUUUACAUAUUUAAAUUAUUUGAUUUGAUGUUUGUUUUGAAUGGUUUAAAGUGGUUGUAUUUAUAAAUUUUUGUCGUGUUUGAUCCAGUUGUGAAAAAUAUAUUAGUUAUGUCAUUUAUAAUCUGAAAGCAGUGAAA